rnacentral:rRNA from 1 species
UGAGGAAUAUUGGUCAAUGGGCGCAAGCCUGAACCAGCCAUCCCGCGUGCAGGAAGACGGCGCUAUGCGUUGUAAACUGCUUUUCCAGGGGAAGAAAACUCCCGACGUGUCGGGAUUUGCCGGUACCCUGGGAAUAAGCAUCGGCUAACUCCGUGCCAGCAGCCGCGGUAAU